AACGUACGCUGGCGGCACGCCUAACACAUGCAAGUCGAACGAAGUAGCAAUACUUAGUGGCAGACGGGUGAGUAACAUGUAGGUAUCUGCCCUUUGGCCUGGAAUAACACGAGGAAACUUGUGCUAAUACCGGAUAAGUCUUUACGGAGAAAGCUUUAUGCACCAUUGGAUGAGCCUGCACUUGAUUAGUUUGUUGGUGGGGUAAUGGCCUACCAAGACUGUGAUCAAUAGCUGAUUUGAGAGGAUGAUCAGCCACAUUGGGACUGAGACACGGCCCAAACUCCUACGGGAGGCAGCAGUGGGGAAUCUUGCACAAUGGAGGAAACUCUGAUGCAGCGAUGCCGCGUGAGUGAAGAAGGCCCUUGGGUUGUAAAGCUCUUUCGUCGGGGAAGAAAAUGACUGUACCCGAAUAAGAAGGUCCGGCUAACUUCGUGCCAGCAGCCGCGGUAAUACGAAGGGACCUAGCGUAGUUCGGAAUUACUGGGCUUAAAGAGUUCGUAGGUGGUUGAAAAAGUUAGUGGUGAAAUCCCAGAGCUUAACUCUGGAACUGCCAUUAAAACUUUUCAGCUAGAGUAUGAUAGAGGAAAGCAGAAUUUCUAGUGUAGAGGUGAAAUUCGUAGAUAUUAGAAAGAAUACCAAUUGCGAAGGCAGCUUUCUGGAUCAUUACUGACACUGAGGAACGAAAGCAUGGGUAGCGAAGAGGAUUAGAUACCCUCGUAGUCCAUGCCGUAAACGAUGUGUGUUAGACGUUGGAAAUUUAUUUUCAGUGUCGCAGGGAAACCGAUAAACACACCGCCUGGGGGAGUACGACCGCAAGGUUAAAACUCAAAUGAAUUGACGGGGACCCGCACAAGUAGUGGAGCAUGUGGUUUAAUUCGAAGAUACGCGCAGAACCUUACCAACACUUGGCAUGUUCGUCGCGACUCUAAGAGAUUAGAGUUUUCGGUUCGGCCGGACGAAACACAGGUGCUGCAUGGCUGUCGUCAGCUCGUGU
rnacentral:rRNA from 1 species